UAUUAGAGCCAACUGGUCCUCCUGAGAGGUUUUGUAGUAUUUUAUAUUUGUAUCUUCAGCAUUUAACAUUGUCCCUGAACAAAUGAAGGUACCCAGCAAAUGUUUCUUAUAAAUGAGUAAAUAAAAUGAAAAUACUAAAACAGAAUGUUUUCUCUUCCCUAGCAAGCUCUCCAUGCCCAGAAAUAUAUUCCAAGAGAGAGAGUGUUCUACCAACCCUGUCUGGAGCAGACUUGCAGAAUGAGUGAAAACAACCAUGUCCAAGUG